rnacentral:rRNA from 1 species
UGGCUCAGGACGAACGCUGGCGGCGUGCCUAAUACAUGCAAGUCGAGCGAACCACUUCGGUGGUUAGCGGCGGACGGGUGAGUAACACGUGGGCAACCUGCCUGUAAGACUGGGAUAACUUCGGGAAACCGGAGCUAAUACCGGAUAAUCCUUUUCCUCUCAUGAGGAAAAGCUGAAAGUCGGUUUCGGCUGUCACUUACAGAUGGGCCCGCGGCGCAUUAGCUAGUUGGUGAGGUAACGGCUCACCAAGGCGACGAUGCGUAGCCGACCUGAGAGGGUGAUCGGCCACACUGGGACUGAGACACGGCCCAGACUCCUACGGGAGGCAGCAGUAGGGAAUCUUCCACAAUGGACGAAAGUCUGAUGGAGCAACGCCGCGUGAGCGAUGAAGGCCUUCGGGUCGUAAAG